GACGAACGCUGGCGGCAUGCCUAACACAUGCAAGUCUAGGGGUAGCAAUACCACUGGCGCACGGGUGAGUAACACGUAGGUUAUCUGCCCCCAUCACAGACAUAACCCCGGGAAACCGGGGCUAAUAUCUGAUGAGGUCGCGAGAUCAAAGCUUCGGCGGAUGGGGAUGAGCCUGCGGCUGAUUAGCUAGUUGGUGAGGUAAUGGCUCACCAAGGCGACGAUCAGUAGCUGGUCUGAGAGGACGAACAGCCACACUGGAACUGAGACACGGUCCAGACUCCUACGGGAGGCAGCAGUGAGGAAUAUUGGUCAAUGGGAGACACUCUACGAACCGACGACUAAGUCGGCCGUCGGUUGGGUAGGGAGUACG
rnacentral:rRNA from 1 species